GCCGUUCUUUCCUUCAUCCUUUCUCUCUCUCGCUGACCUGUAGCUAGUUCUAAAGAAGUAUGCCUUCUCUAAACCUCCACGUUGGAUUGGUUACAUAUCGAUUCAUCAGGUCCGAGGGGCCCUAAUACCACUCGAGUACAGAUGUAACUUAAUACACUACAGAAUGAUCAUGUAAUUCGUGGGCCUGGAUCUAGUCCCCCGUAUGGACUUGAUCGAGUCCCCCUCAUGGCCUGGGUCGAAUCCCACUCAUGGACUACAGAAUUGCCAGGACGAUGACUGAAUUCCCCGGGCCACCUUAAUUCGUCAUUCUGGGCCACCGUACCGGACCCUGAAUGUAUCCUCUUGGCCUUAUCUCCACCACCACGAGGCGGUGAAGGACUGGUGACUCGAAGCAGCGGGAGGUCCACCUAGUUCCCUUUCUACCAUGAAAGCUCUGAAUCGACGACCAGCCAGAUGAGGUCUGCUUGGACUGAAAAUGUAAAUCAAUGCACCUCCAAGUCUGAGUCACGAGAGAGCGGGUUGACUUGUGACUAGUUUGAAACCUGGCUCCUCCUAGCUGAGUGUUAGGUGUCGGUAACCCUAACGACGAGCUCUGGCUGUGUAUGAAUGGUUGUAAGUCGCUUAGGAUAAAUUGGCUUCCAAAUGCAACUCGGAAGAUAUUGUCUUCAAGACCAGAAUCAUUGUUGGACCCGCUCUGGAUUAAAGCUUCUGCUAAAUGCCCUGAAUGUAAAUGCCCCUGCUAAUACAAAUGUGUUGCUCUUAACAAUAAAACUGAAAAAUAAAUUGCUGUUUUCGUUGGUUUCUGUU